rnacentral:rRNA from 1 species
GACGAACGCUGGCGGCACGCCUAACACAUGCAAGUCGAACGGACUUACAAGAGCUUGCUUUUUUAAGUUAGUGGCGGACGGGUGAGUAACACGUGAGCAACCUGCCUCUGAGAGGGGGAUAGCUUCUGGAAACGGAUGGUAAUACCCCAUAAAAUAUAAAUAUCGCAUGAUAGAUAUAUCAAAGAAAUUCGCUCAGAGAUGGGCUCGCGUCUGAUUAGAUAGUUGGUGAGGUAACGGCUCACCAAGUCGACGAUCAGUAGCCGGACUGAGAGGUUGAACGGCCACAUUGGGACUGAGACACGGCCCAGACUCCUACGGGAGGCAGCAGUGGGGAAUAUUGCACAAUGGAGGGAACUCUGACGCAGCGAUGCCGCGUGGAGGAAGAAGGUGUUCGGAUUGUAAACUCCUUUUAUCAGGGACGAUAAUGACGGUACCUGAAGAAAAAGCUCCGGCUAACUACGUG